UGGGGAAUUUUGGACAAUGGGCGCAAGCCUGAUCCAGCAAUGCCGCGUGCAGGAAGAGGGCCUUCGGGUUGUAAACUGCUUUUGUCAGGGAAGAAAUCCUCUGGGUUAAUACCUCGGGGGGAUGACGGUACCUGAAGAAUAAGCACCGGCUAACUACGCGCCAGCAGCCGCGGUAAUACGUAGGGUGCGAGCGUUAAUCGGAAUUACUGGGCGUAAAGCGUGCGCAGGCGGCUUUGCAAGACAGAUGUGAAAUCCCCGGGCUCAACCUGGGAACUGCAUUUGUGACUGCAAGGCUAGAGUACGGUAGAGGGGGAUGGAAUUCCGCGUGUAGCAGUGAAAUGCGUAGAUAUGCGGAGGAACACCAAUGGCGAAGGCAAUCCCCUGGACCUGUACUGACGCUCAUGCACGAAAGCGUGGGGAGCAAACAGGAUUAGAUACCCUGGUAGUCCACGCCCUAAACGAUGUCAACUGGUUGUUGGACGGCUUGCUGUUCAGUAACGAAGCUAACGCGUGAAGUUGACCGCCUGGGGAGUACGGCCGCAAGGUUG
rnacentral:rRNA from 1 species